rnacentral:rRNA from 1 species
UACGAAGGGGACUAGCGUUGUUCGGAAUCACUGGGCGUAAAGCGCACGUAGGCGGAUGUGUCAGUCAGGGGUGAAAUCCCGGGGCUCAACCUCGGAACUGCCUUUGAUACAGCACGUCUCGAGUCCGGAAGAGGUGGGGUGGAAUUCCUAGUGUAGAGGUGAAAAUUCGUAGAUAUUAGGAAGAAACACGGUGGCGAAGGCGGCCCACUGGUCCGGUACUGACGCUGAGGUGCGAAAGCGUGGG